GACGAACGCUGGCGGCGUGCUUAACACAUGCAAGUCGAACGGAAAGGCCCUGCUUUUGUGGGGUGCUCGAGUGGCGAACGGGUGAGUAACACGUGAGUAACCUGCCCUUGACUUUGGGACAACUUCAGGAAACUGGGGCUAAUACCGGAUAGGAGCUCCUGCUGCAUGGUGGGGGUUGGAAAGUUUCGGCGGUUGGGGAUGGACUCGCGGCUUAUCAGCUUGUUGGUGGGGUAGUGGCUUACCAAGGCUUUGACGGGUAGCCGGCCUGGGAGGGUGACCGGCCACAUUGGGACUGGGAUACGGCCCAGACUCCUACGGGAGGCAGCAGUGGGGAAUAUUGCACAAUGGGCGGAAGCCCGAUGCAGCAACGCCGCGUGCGGGAUGACGGCCUUCGGGUUGUAAACCGCUUUCGCCUGUGACGAAGCGUGAGUGACGGUAAUGGGUAAAGAAGCACCGGCUAACUACGUG
rnacentral:rRNA from 1 species